AUUCUCCGAAGGACAGAUUCCAUAGAGGCCCUACCUACCCUUGCCCCAGCGUCACGUGCGGGGAAGGGAUGCCACGUGGUUCGGCGGCCAAAGGCGAAGAGGGCUUUUCUUGGGAGGUUUGCGUUAUGCAGUAAAAGUAGAAGUAAAGCUACCUGCAAUUUUGAGAGCAAGAAAAAUGAAGCUCCCUAUUUUCAUAGUAGAUGCAUUUACAGCAAAAGCAUUUCGUGGGAAUCCUGCUGCUGUUUGCCUCCUAGAAAAUAAAUUGGAUGAAGACGUACAUCAAAAAAUUGCAAGAGAAAUGAACCUCUCUGAAACUGCUUUUAUUCGAAAACUGAACCCAACUGACAACUUUACACAAAGUUCCUGCUUUGGAUUAAGGUGGUUUACACCGGCAAGUGAGGUUCCGCUCUGUGGCCACGCUACCCUGGCUUCUGCAGCUGUGCUGUUUUACAAAAUAAAAAAUGUGAAUAACACUCUAACCUUUGUCACUCUGAGUGGGGAACUUAAGGCCAGAAGAGCAGAGGAUGGUAUUAUCCUGGAUCUGCCUCUUUAUCCUGCCCACCCCCAGGACUUCCAUGAAGUGGAGGACUUGAUAAAAACUGCUAUAGGUAACACCCUGGUCCAAGACAUUCGCUAUUCUCCAGAUACCCGAAAACUCCUUGUCCGACUCAGUGACACUUAUAAGAGGUCAUUUCUGGAGAACCUGAAGGUGAACACACAAGAUCUGUUGCAAGUGGAAAACACAGGGAAGGUGAAAGGACUCAUUCUCACCCUUAAAGGAGAGCCUGGAGGGCAGACCCAAACAUUUGACUUUUACUCCAGAUAUUUUGCACCGUGGGUUGGUGUGGCUGAAGAUCCUGUAACAGGGUCUGCGCAUGCUGUUCUCAGCAGCUACUGGUCCCAGCAACUGGGGAAGAAAGACAUGCAUGGUGUAAUAAAAUGUCAUGUAUCACCCAUGUGAAAAUGAAAGGUUUUCAAUUCCUUCAUCUUGAAUCCUCUACUCAGAACAUCUUCCACUCCUGUCCUUUCCAACACACAGAUACACUUCUAAUACAGUAUACACCUUUCAGUGUUCCCGCCGAGGAGGAGAACUGGAGAUUUCACUGUGCCCCGAUGGACGAGUUGACAUUAAGGGUGGCACUGCUAUUGUUUUAGAGGGCACUCUGACAGCCUAGAUGUGGUUGUGGUCGUGGUUCUUUUGAUGCCACUAUUUUGUUAUUUUGAAUGACUAAGUAUUUUCUGCAUAAAAAGAAAUGGAAGUGGCUGCCUUUACCAAACUUGCAUAGCAGUUCACUUCAUCCUCAUGUUAGAAAUAGAAAAAUGAAAACAUAUUAAUGGAAAUUUAAUCACGCUUUCUAACUAAUUCACUAAUGGAGUUUUGACUCUACCUGUGAGUGUAUUUGCAAUGGAAGUAACCAGUAACAAAAUAAUGUUGUCACCUGAUUAUGACUACCAAUAACACAAUGAGGAACAAAUUUAUGGGGAGUAAGAGCAAACCAUUUAAACUCAGGUAUGAGUAUCUGAUAGACUAUUUUGUAGCCUUUAAAAAGACCCAAUAAUCAUUUGGAAAUAUUGAAAAAUACUUCAUGAUAUAAUUCUAAGAAAGAGAAUUCAAAAUGUUAGCAUUGUUAUGUCUGUGUACAAUAUGAACUUACAUGGACAAAGAUGGGUCAUGAAGAUAGAAAGGUGAAAGCUAUUCAUAUGUGUGUGUGGACAGGUAAGAUUGGGAGUCAUUUUAAUGCACCUAAGAAAUUAUUUCCCUUAUUGGAACACACUCAUGUUCAAUAACUAACAAUCAGAACAUAUAACAGAAUAACCAAUAAAGUCAGAAAUUUCAAAAGAUGUAUGUGUAUUAGUGUGGUAGUAAAAUUAAACACUAAAAGCAAAUGUAAUGUCUUUAUCUUGAUGUAUGGCUUUAGAGCUAUAGCUUAAAAGGCAUUCUUCUCUUACCUUAAUAAAAUUGGUUUUGGGAUGCCUGGA